rnacentral:rRNA from 1 species
AUGGUUGCAAAGCUGAAACUUAAAGGAAUUGACGGAAGGGCACACAAGAACUGGAGCCUGCGGCUUAAUUUGACUCAACACAGGGAAACUCACCCAGCCCGGACACUGGAAGGAUUGACAGAUUGAUAGCUCUUUCUUGAUUCGGUGGUAGGUGGUGCAUGGUCGUUCUUAGUUCGUGGAGCGAUUUGUCUGGUUAAUUCCGAUAACGAACGAGACUCCAGCCUGCUAAAUAGACCCGCGGUCUUUCGUUACCGCGCUCGGGUCUUCUUAGAGGGACGGGCGGCUCCCAGCCGCACGAAAAGGUUCAAUAACAGGUCUGUGAUGCCCUUAGAUGUCUGGGGCCGCACGCGCGCUACACUGAAGGGAUCAGCGAGUGUCUGCCCUGGUCCGAGAGGAUCGGGUAACCCCGUGAACCCCCUUCGUGAUGGGGAUAGGGGAUUGAAAUUAUUCCCCUCGAACGAGGAAUUCCUAGUAAGCGCGAGUCACCAGCUCGCGCUGAUUACGUCCCUGCCCUUUGUGCACACCGCCCGUCGCUGAAAGCGAUUGAACGAUUUAGUGAGGUCUUCGGACCGGCGCGGAGGUGGGGUUCGCCCCCGUCCGUGGCUUCCGGAAAGAUGCCCGAACUCGGUCGUUUAGAGCCUUCAAAAGUCGUAACAAGGUUGCCGUAGGUGAACCUGGGAAAGGAUCAA